rnacentral:rRNA from 1 species
CCCUUAGAUGUUCUGGGCUGCACGCGCGCUACACUGAAGCGUUCAACGAGUAUUCACCUUGCCCGGGAGGGUUGGGUAAUCUUUUGAAAACGCUUCGUGAUGGGGAUAGAUUAUUGCAAUUAUUAAUCUUGAACGAGGAAUUCCUAGUAAACGCAGAUCAUCAAUCUGCAUUGAUUACGUCCCUGCCCUUUGUACACACCGCCCGUCGCACCUACCGAUUGGAUGGUCCGGUGAAGCCUCGGGAUUGUGGUUCUUGCCGCUUUAUUGUGGCGUGACCGCGAGAACUUGUCUAAACCUUAUCAUCUAGAGGAAGGUGAAGUCGUAACA